AUGUCCACUGAUGAGAGAAUGAAGAUUGAUUCAGUGUCUAGGUUCCCCGUCAUAAAGAAAAGCUUCUCAGUUGACAAUGCACAAGUGUUACCUUCUACAAAGCCAUCUCCAUGCAAAGAAAUGAUGACCCAUCCAUCUUCAAAGAAUAUCGAGAGGUACUCUUUGGCUAAGAUGAGCAUUGAACUUUCAGAAGAUGAAACCACCAACACAGAGAUUAUUGGGCAAUCGGGACAUGCGAGGGAAAAAUGA
rnacentral:rRNA from 1 species